UCCUCCCUCUUUCUUCGUGCUUAACACAUGCAAGUCGAACGGAAAGGCCCUGCUUUUGUGGGGUGCUCGAGUGGCGAACGGGUGAGUAACACGUGAGUAACCUGCCCUUGACUUUGGGAUAACUUCAGGAAACUGGGGCUAAUACCGGAUAGGAGCUCCUGCUGCAUGGUGGGGGGUGGAAAGUUUCGGCGGUUGGGGAUGGACUCGCGGCUUAUCAGCUUGUUGGUGGGGUAGUGGCUUACCAAGGCUUUGACGGGUAGCCGGCCUGAGAGGGUGACCGGCCACAUUGGGACUGAGAUACGGCCCAGACUCCUACGGGAGGCAGCAGUGGGGAAUAUUGCACAAUGGGCGGAAGCCUGAUGCAGCAACGCCGCGUGCGGGAUGACGGCCUUCGGGUUGUAAACCGCUUUCGCCUGUGACGAAGCGUGAGUGACGGUAAUGGGUAAAGAAGCACCGGCUAACUACGUG
rnacentral:rRNA from 1 species